rnacentral:rRNA from 1 species
CACAUGCAAGUCGAACGAGCGAGAGAGAGUUUGCUUUCUCGAGCGAGUGGCGAACGGGUGAGUAACGCGUGAGGAACCUGCCUCAAAGAGGGGGACAACAGUUGGAAACGACUGCUAAUACCGCAUAAGCCCACGGGUCGGCAUCGACCAGAGGGAAAAGGAGUGAUCCGCUUUGAGAUGGCCUCGCGUCCGAUUAGCUAGUUGGCGAGGUAAUGGCCCACCAAGGCGACGAUCGGUAGCCGGACUGAGAGGUUGAACGGCCACAUUGGGACUGAGACACGGCCCAGACUCCUACGGGAGGCAGCAGUGGGGAAUAUUGCACAAUGGGGGAAACCCUGAUGCAGCGACGCCGCGUGGAGGAAGAAGGUCUUCGGAUUGUAAACUCCUGUUGUUGGGGAAGAUAAUGACGGUACCCAACAAGGAAGUGACGGCUAACUACGUGCCAGCAGCCGCGGUAAAACGUAGGUCACAAGCGUUGUCCGGAAUUACUGGGUGUAAAGGGAGCGCAGGCGGGAAGACAAGUUGGAAGUGAAAUCCAUGGGCUCAACCCAUGAACUGCUUUCAAAACUGUUUUUCUUGAGUAGUGCAGAGGUAGGCGGAAUUCCCGGUGUAGCGGUGGAAUGCGUAGAUAUCGGGAGGAACACCAGUGGCGAAGGCGGCCUACUGGGCACCAACUGACGCUGAGGCUCGAAAGUGUGGGUAGCAAACAGGAUUAGAUACCCUGGUAGUCCACACCGUAAACGAUGAUUACUAGGUGUUGGAGGAUUGACCCCUUCAGUGCCGCAGUUAACACAAUAAGUAAUCCACCUGGGGAGUACGACCGCAAGGUUGAAACUCAAAGGAAUUGACGGGGGCCCGCACAAGCAGUGGAGUAUGUGGUUUAAUU